UUGGAACAGAUCUGACGGUGCUCUAAAGAGAACCGAUACACAGGUGCUGCAUGGCUGUCGUAGCACGUGUCGUGAGAUGUUGGGUUAAGUCCCGCAACGAGCGCAACCCUUGUCCUUAGUUGCUACGCAAGAGCACUCUAGGGAGACUGCCGGUGACAAACCGGAGGAAGGUGGGGAUGACGUCAAGUCCUCAUGGCCCUUAUGGGUAGGGCUUCACACGUCAUACAAUGGUCGGAACAGAGGGUCGCCAACCCGCGAGGGGGAGCUAAUCCCAGAAAACCGAUCGUAGUCCGGAUUGCACUCUGCAACUCGAGUGCAUGAAGCUGGAAUCGCUAGUAAUCGCGGAUCAGCAUGCCGCGGUGAAUACGUUCCCGGGUCUUGUACACACCG
rnacentral:rRNA from 1 species